AGCGAACGCUGGCGGCAGGCUUAACACAUGCAAGUCGAACGCCCCGCAAGGGGAGUGGCAGACGGGUGAGUAACACGUGGGAACGUACCCUUUGGUUCGGAAUAACUUGGGGAAACUCAAGCUAAUACCGGAUAAGCCCUUAUGGGGAAAGGUUUACUGCCGAAGGAUCGGCCCGCGUCUGAUUAGCGAGUUGGUGGGGUAAUGGCUCACCAAGGCGACGAUGAGUAGCUGGUCUGAGAGGAUGAUCAGCCACACUGGGACUGAGACACGGCCCAGACUCCUGCGGGAGGGAGCAGUGGGGAAUAUUGGACAGUGGGGGCAACCCGGGUCCAGCGAUGCCGCGUGGGUGAUGAAGGCCUUAGGGUUGUAAAGCUCUUUUACCCGGGACGAUAAUGACUGUACCGGGAGAUUAAGCCCCGGCUAACUUCGUGCCAGCCGCCGCGGUAA
rnacentral:rRNA from 1 species